GGUCAAGUGAAGAAGCGCAUACGGUGGAUGCCUUGGCAGUCAGAGGCGAUGAAAGACGUGGUAGCCUGCGAAAAGCUUCGGGGAGUCGGCAAACAGACUUUGAUCCGGAGAUCUCUGAAUGGGGGAACCCACCUAGGAUAACCUAGGUAUCUUGUACUGAAUCCAUAGGUGCAAGAGGCGAACCAGGGGAACUGAAACAUCUAAGUACCCUGAGGAAAAGAAAUCAACCGAGAUUCCCUUAGUAGUGGCGAGCGAACGGGGAUUAGCCCUUAAGCUUCAUUGAUUUUAGCGGAACGCUCUGGAAAGUGCGGCCAUAGUGGGUGAUAGCCCCGUACGCGAAAGGAUCUUUGAAGUGAAAUCGAGUAGGACGGAGCACGAGAAACUUUGUCUGAACAUGGGGGGACCAUCCUCCAAGGCUAAAUACUACUGACUGACCGAUAGUGAACCAGUACCGUGAGGGAAAGGCGAAAAGAACCCCGGAGAGGGGAGUGAAAUAGAACCUGAAACCGUAUGCGUACAAGCAGUGGGAGCCUACUUGUUAGGUGACUGCGUACCUUUUGUAUAAUGGGUCAGCGACUUAUAUUCAGUGGCAAGCUUAACCGUAUAGGGUAGGCGUAGCGAAAGCGAGUCUUAAUAGGGCGUUUAGUCGCUGGGUAUAGACCCGAAACCGGGCGAUCUAUCCAUGAGCAGGUUGAAGGUUAGGUAACACUGACUGGAGGACCGAACCCACUCCCGUUGAAAAGGUAGGGGAUGACUUGUGGAUCGGAGUGAAAGGCUAAUCAAGCUCGGAGAUAGCUGGUUCUCCUCGAAAGCUAUUUAGGUAGCGCCUCAUGUAUCACUCUGGGGGGUAGAGCACUGUUUCGGCUAGGGGGUCAUCCCGACUUACCAAACCGAUGCAAACUCCGAAUACCCAGAAGUGCCGAGCAUGGGAGACACACGGCGGGUGCUAACGUCCGUCGUGAAAAGGGAAACAACCCAGACCGCCAGCUAAGGUCCCAAAGUUGUGGUUAAGUGGUAAACGAUGUGGGAAGGCUUAGACAGCUAGGAGGUUGGCUUAGAAGCAGCCAUCCUUUAAAGAAAGCGUAAUAGCUCACUAGUCGAGUCGGCCUGCGCGGAAGAUGUAACGGGGCUCAAACCACACACCGAAGCUGCGGGUGUCACGUAAGUGACGCGGUAGAGGAGCGUUCUGUAAGCCUGUGAAGGUGAGUUGAGAAGCUUGCUGGAGGUAUCAGAAGUGCGAAUGCUGACAUGAGUAACGACAAUGGGUGUGAAAAACACCCACGCCGAAAGACCAAGGGUUCCUGCGCAACGUUAAUCGACGCAGGGUUAGUCGGUUCCUAAGGCGAGGCUGAAAAGCGUAGUCGAUGGGAAACAGGUUAAUAUUCCUGUACUUCUGGUUACUGCGAUGGAGGGACGGAGAAGGCUAGGCCAGCUUGGCGUUGGUUGUCCAAGUUUAAGGUGGUAGGCUGAAAUCUUAGGUAAAUCCGGGGUUUCAAGGCCGAGAGCUGAUGACGAGUCGUCUUUUAGAUGACGAAGUGGUUGAUGCCAUGCUUCCAAGAAAAGCUUCUAAGCUUCAGGUAACCAGGAACCGUACCCCAAACCGACACAGGUGGUCGGGUAGAGAAUACCAAGGCGCUUGAGAGAACUCGGGUGAAGGAACUAGGCAAAAUGGCACCGUAACUUCGGGAGAAGGUGCGCCGGCUAGGGUGAAGGAUUUACUCCGUAAGCUCUGGCUGGUCGAAGAUACCAGGCCGCUGCGACUGUUUAUUAAAAACACAGCACUCUGCAAACACGAAAGUGGACGUAUAGGGUGUGACGCCUGCCCGGUGCCGGAAGGUUAAUUGAUGGGGUUAGCGCAAGCGAAGCUCUUGAUCGAAGCCCCGGUAAACGGCGGCCGUAACUAUAACGGUCCUAAGGUAGCGAAAUUCCUUGUCGGGUAAGUUCCGACCUGCACGAAUGGCGUAACGAUGGCGGCGCUGUCUCCACCCGAGACUCAGUGAAAUUGAAAUCGCUGUGAAGAUGCA
rnacentral:rRNA from 1 species